rnacentral:rRNA from 1 species
AGCGAACGCUGGCGGCAGGCCUAACACAUGCAAGUCGAACGGUCCUUCGGGACAGUGGCGGACGGGUGAGUAACACGUGGGAACGUGCCUUUAGGUUCGGGACAACCCAGGGAAACUUGGGCUAAUACCGGAUGUGCCCUUCGGGGGUAAAGGAUUUAUCGCCUUUAGAGCGGCCCGCGUCUGAUUAGCUUGUUGGUGAGGUAAUGGCUCACCAAAGGCUACGAUCAGUAGCUGGUCUGAGAGGAUGAUCAGCCACACC